CCACUUUGUGCACAAAUAAAAAUCUUACUUUCUUUCUAGUGUAUAGCUUUAAUGUGGUAAUGCAAAUCUCUUUAAUUUCAUCCUCAGUAGCUCCAAACAACAGAUACCAAUGCGGCCUUGUUGGGAGGGGAAUCUAAAGAGCUCUUGCUGCAAGGUAGAUGCAAGCACAAGCAAUUGUUUCUGCCUCAAAUCUUACAAACACAUUUGUUCGGAGAGUGUCAUUCAUGUAGUUCCUGCAAGACAUUACAUUUUUUUAAUCAUGACUAACACUAACACUGCAUUACGAUGUCAGGAAACUCAGUUUAACUUGUCCUUUUGU